rnacentral:misc_RNA from 1 species
GAUGAAGAACGCAGCGAAAUGCGAUAAGUAAUGUGAAUUGCAGAGUUCAGUGAAUCAUCGAAUCUUUGAACGCACAUUGCGCCCCCUGGUAUUCCGGGGGGCAUGCCUGUCCGAGCGUCAUUACAACCCUCAAGCUCAGCUUGGUGUUGGGCCCCGCCGCCCCGGCGGGCCCUAAAGUCAGUGGCGGUGCCGUCCGGCUCCGAGCGUAGUAAUUCUUCUCGCUCUGGAGGUCCGGUCGUGUGCUCGCCAGCAACCCCCAAUUUUUUUCAGGUUGACCUCGGAUCAGGUAGGGAUACCCGCUGAACUUAAGCAUAUCCAUAAGCGGAGGA